rnacentral:rRNA from 1 species
CGCGGCCUAUCAGCUUGUUGGUGGGGUAAUGGCCUACCAAGGCGGCGACGGGUAGCCGGCCUGAGAGGGUGGACGGCCACAUUGGGACUGAGACACGGCCCAGACUCCUACGGGAGGCAGCAGUGGGGAAUAUUGCACAAUGGGCGCAAGCCUGAUGCAGCGACGCCGCGUGGGGGAUGACGGCCUUCGGGUUGUAAACUCCUUUCGCCCGGGACGAAGCCCACCUGGUGGGUGACGGUACCGUGGAGAAGAAGCACCGGCUAACUACGUGCCAGCAGCCGCGGUAAUACGUAGGGUGCAAGCGUUGUCCGGAUUUACUGGGCGUAAAGAGCUCGUAGGUGGUGUGUCGCGUCGUCUGUGAAAUUCCGGGGCUUAACUCCGGGCGUGCAGGCGAUACGGGCACGACUAGAGUGCUGUAGGGGUAACUGGAAUUCCUGGUGUAGCGGUGAAAUGCGCAGAUAUCAGGAGGAACACCGAUGGCGAAGGCAGGUUACUGGGCAGUUACUGACGCUGAGGAGCGAAAGCAUGGGGAGCGAACAGGAUUAGAUACCCUGGUAGUCCAUGCUGUAAACGGUGGGCGCUAGGUGUGGGCUGUGUGUUUGCAGUCUGUGCCGUAGCUAACGCAUUAAGCGCCCCGCCUGGGGAGUACGG